rnacentral:rRNA from 1 species
UACGAAGGGUGCAAGCGUUACUCGGAAUUACUGGGCGUAAAGCGUGCGUAGGCGGUUUGUUAAGUCCGCUGUGAAAGCCCUGGGCUCAACCUGGGAAUUGCAGUGGAUACUGGCAAGCUAGAGUGCGGUAGAGGAUGGUGGAAUUCCCGGUGUAGCGGUGAAAUGCGUAGAUAUCAGGAGGAACACCGGUGGUGUAGACGGCUUUCUGGACCGUAACUGACGCUGAGACACGAAAGCGUGGGGAGCAAACAGG